UAUAAGUAUACAAAGAAACUAUUAUGGAAAUCUGGCUAUGUAUUAAAGGGCAUGACUUUUAUUGAUCCCAUUUUUUACACGCUAAAUUGCGUAAUAUUCAAUUUAAACCCUAGAAGAAAUUCAAUAAUAAACGAAGUGAAUUGAAACAUCUUAGUAACUUCAGGAAAAGAAAUCAAAAGAGAUUCUAUGAUUAGCGUGAGUGAAAAUAGAGGAGCCUAGAUAAAAAAUUAAGUAAAAUGGUUUAAAAACUGUUUGAAUUAAGCCCACUGUCCCCCUUCCCAGGGGGAAUGCUAGUGGGCUUGGGGAACCUUCCUCAAAGGCUAAAUAUAAUACAUAAGCGAUAGUGAACAAGUAUCAUGAGAGAAGGAUUAGAAUUAGUAGUUUUAUAAGCAGUUCGAGCAAAAUAAAUAAGUGAGAACGUACCUUUUGCAUAAUGGGUCACCUAGUUAACAUUAGAUGCGAGUGAAAGCGUAGGUAAACCAAUCGUUAAAAUAACGAAUAGUGUCUAAAGUUAGACCCGAAGCCUGGUGAUUUUACCAUAAUCAGGAUUAUAAAAGUCCGAACGGGUUAUCGUUGUAAAGAUAUCCGAAGAAUUAUGGUAGGUAGUGAAAGACAACACUGACUAGGAUAGCUGGUUUUCUGCGAAACCUAUAACAGUAGGCAAUUUGAGUAACAUCUUAGCAGGUACAGAAUUUAAUCUCAGACAAGAUGUUUAAAUUUUAGUGGUGGCUGCGCGGUCUUACCGCUAAAGCUCGCCAUUAAAACAACAUGUUGAUUUGUAUAUAUCGGGGGAUCGUGAAGAUUUUAUCGGUGAGUAUGUAGACUCGGAAUGGCAAAGAUGGAUCUUUAAUUAUCGGACAUAGAAUGAUAAGGUUGUAUGUCAAAAGGGAAACAGCCCAGAACAAGAGUUAAGGUUCCAAAAUUAUUAGUUAAGUGAAAUUAAGAAAGUUUUUAUUAAAGUCGACAAGGAGAUGGGCUUAGAAGCAGCCAAAUUUUGAAGACCUCGUAACAGAGCGCUUGUUAAGUUUUAAAAGCAUCGAAAAUUUAACGGAUCUAAACAAUAUACCGAAACCUUGUCCAUAUUUUACUAUUGGCUAAGUAUAAGAUAGAUAGUAAUUUUGUGGGGUAGCAGAACGUUGAAUUAAAUUAAGAUAUUUCCUCAGUGAAGAAAUAUAUAAUAAACAAUUCAAGUGAGAAUGGUGACAUGAGUAACGAAUAAGAAGGAGGUGAACCCGAAACCCCACCCCCGCCUUAGGGGAAUGGCCUAGUAAGGUUCAUCAUAUCCUCCGCCUAAAGCUUAUGGCUUGGUGGAAGCUCCAAAACGGCCUCUAAGUAUAUGAAACCGAACGGGCUAUACGAUGAGAGAUUUACUGAAAGACAACAUUUUUAAGUGAGAAGUGUGCUGGAAAAUUAGUAGGGAAUGUCUGGGAGACUGGUCGCUAAAAAAUAGUAUCCUUGACUAGGAUCGUGUAAAAUCUAUACUAAACUAAUACCGUACCUAGAGUCUGAAACAAGUAAGCUAGUAGAGAAUACGAAGGCGUAAAUGAGCUAACAAUCAUAAAGGAACUCGGCAAAUUAACUACCGUAACUUCGGGAUAAGGAGGGCUCAUUAGUCCUGAUUAAUAUCGGGUAAAAAGGAAGAAGCAUAAAAUAAUGUUGUACGACUGUUUAAUUAAAACACAGCACUUUGCUAAAAGAUUAAUAAUCGAUGUAUUGAGUGUGAUGUCUGCCCGAUGCCGGCUGGUUAACGGAUUUAACUAAAUUUUUUCAAAAAUUUGGUGUUGAAGGAACCCCCGGUUAAUGGCGGCCUUAACGUGAGGGUCCUAAGGUAGCGAAAUGCCUUGGCCGUUAAAUGCGGUCUUGCAUGAAUGAUGUAACGAUACAACAGCUGUCUCUAUGAUUGACUCAGUGAAAUUGGAAUAACUGUGCAGAUACAGUUUACCUCUAGUUAGACGAGAAGACCCUAUGCAGCUUUACUGUUACUAAUUAUAGGGUAUGAUGGAUGAAUUUUCAGAUUAUAAGGUACAUUGAUUAAUAAAAAUGAAAAUCCUUUAUUUCGACAUCAUACUUCGGGUCCAGCGAAACAUAUGAUAAGUGGCAGUCUUAUUUCUCCGGACCAUUUGAGGGGGGUGGUUCUAAGGCUUAUCUAGUGGAUGGUGAUAGCCCCCCUAAGUAGCCACACUUAGAAUUUUCCAGGACGGAAAUUGCUUACCUCUGGUAAGUUGGAAGUAACCUUUAGAGAGGAAUAUAUAGUUAGGAGACAGUUUAUGUGGGGCACAGACCCCUUAAAGAGUAAAAGGGAGUGUCUAAAAAUGAUUUGUUAUAAGAUAGCGCGCCUCCAAAGGAAGCGCGUCAGCUCUUAUAAGGUUGUUUGUGGUUUUAUGUAGUUUUACUAUAUUUAAUCUUCUAAAAUUAUUUCUAUCUAUCCUAGUGGUAGAUAGGGAUGGAUAUUUAGGUACGUUUUUCACUAUAGUGAAAAUAGCGGUAUAAUAAAAAAUAUUAUGAAGGUAAAAUAGUCUAAUGUUUUUUGAGUUAUUAA
rnacentral:rRNA from 1 species